rnacentral:rRNA from 1 species
GAACAGUUGGAAACGACUGCUAAUACCGCAUAAGCCCACCGGUGCCGCAUGGCACAGAGGGAAAAGGAGCAAUCCGCUUUGAGAUGGCCUCGCGUCCGAUUAGCUAGUUGGUGAGGUAACGGCCCACCAAGGCAACGAUCGGUAGCCGAACUGAGAGGUUGAUCGGCCGCAUUGGGACUGAGACACGGCCCAGACUCCUACGGGAGGCAGCAUG